GGAGGGUGAUCGAUCACGGAGUAUCACCCCAGGUAGUGGUGCUGAUGAUCCACUACCAUCUCCGGAUGCAGAUGCUGGAUAUUCAUCACCCGGCCCCUCUGAUGCAGCACCAGAACCAUCCCCCGACGCAGCACCAGAACCAUCCCCCGACGCAGGUGCUACUUGGACCCCGACAUAUCCAUCAUAUACAUUCCAUACUGACUUGCGGCCAAAGACCCAGGACUUUCUCAGUUUACCUUUACCUCCGGACUCUCAUAAGUCCA